UACGGAGGUCUCGAGCGUUAGGCGGAAUCACUGGGCUUAAAGCGUGUGUAGGUGGAUCGUUAAGUACCUUGUGAAAUCCCACGGCUUAACCGUGGAACUGCUUGGUAUACUGGCGGUCUUGAGCCAGCUAGGGGCUACCGGAACAAAUGGUGGAGCGGUGAAAUGCGUAGAGAUCAGGAAGAACAUCGGUGGCGAAGGCGCUCUGCUGGACCAUAACUGACACUCAGGGACGAAAGCUAGGGGAGCGAAUGGG
rnacentral:rRNA from 1 species